UACGUAGGGUGCAAGCGUUGUCCGGAAUUAUUGGGCGUAAAGAGCUCGUAGGCGGCCUGUCGCGUCGGCUGUGAAAACUCAGGGCUCAACCCCGGGCCUGCAGUCGAUACGGGCAGACUAGAGUGCGGUAGGGGAGACUGGAAUUCCUGGUGUAGCGGUGAAAUGCGCAGAUAUCAGGAGGAACACCGGUGGCGAAGGCGGGUCUCUGGGCCGUAACUGACGCUGAGGAGCGAAAGCGUGGGGAGCGAACAGG
rnacentral:rRNA from 1 species